CCUACGGGUGGCAGCAGUGGGGAAUAUUGGACAAUGGGGGGAACCCUGAUCCAGCCAUGCCGCGUGUGUGAAGAAGGCCAUCGGGUUGUAAAGCACUUUCAGUGAGGAAGAACGCCUGGUGGUUAAUACCCAUCAGGAAAGACAUCACUCACAGAAGAAGCACCGGCUAACUCCGUGCCAGCAGCCGCGGUAAUACGGAGGGUGCGAGCGUUAAUCGGAAUUACUGGGCGUAAAGCGCGCGUAGGUGGCUUGAUAAGCCGGUUGUGAAAGCCCCGGGCUCAACCUGGGAACGGCAUCCGGAACUGUCAAGCUAGAGUGCAGGAGAGGAAGGUAGAAUUCCCGGUGUAGCGGUGAAAUGCGUAGAGAUCGGGAGGAAUACCAGUGGCGAAGGCGGCCUUCUGGACUGACACUGACACUGAGGUGCGAAAGCGUGGGUAGCAAACAGGAUUAGAUACCCGUGUAGUC
rnacentral:rRNA from 1 species